CGAACAAUUCUAUUAUAAAUGAAACAAGGAAGGAUAAGUUCCGAUAUGCUCUUCCAAGUCACCACCGCCAAAUGACGAAUCACGCUAUCCUAAAGAAACGAUUCACCCCAUCACCACCAACCCGUGGGAAGGAGAAGUUGAGACUCGAUGGAAUCGUUCGAACCGUCAUUGCUCUCAAUUGCAUUAGGUGUGGCGAUCCAGCUGCGCAGAAUGUCUACUCAAACUUCGCACUUUUGCUGUGCAAAGGGCAUAUAGCCGAACCAGAGACCAUAAACAUGGUAUGAUGAUGUUCAGGGAAGAGAAGUUUAAAACUUUUGAAAUGGGUGAAGAUGAUGAUGCUUCAGUUGACAUAGAUGAUCAGUUGUAUUUUCCUCCGGAAGAGAAAGUCAUCGAUAUCUCAAAGAACAUACGAGACGCAUACACAUUGAGAUCACCAUUAGCGCCGUGGGUGAACCUAACAGCGGAGGUUUAUGUCUGAAAUGUGGUGCCAAUCUCAACUAUAGCAAGUGGUCAUGUAAGCAGGACAAGUUUGAGGAGAAAGUUCAUGAACCCAUUGGAAAUUUACGAAAACAAAUGCAGCACACAAGAAAUUGUUUUUUUUUCUAUGUUUGUUUGCUCUGUAAAUGCAACAGGGGAGUAGUUUAAAAUCCAAAAAUGAAUUUGAAUUGAAUUCGAAUUCUCAUUAAAA